GAUGAACGCUAGCGGCAGGCCUAAUACAUGCAAGUCGAACGGUGUCUUCGGACAUAGUGGCGCACGGGUGCGUAACACGUAUGCAACCUACCUUACAUUGGGGGAUAGCCUUUCGAAAGGGAGAUUAAUACCGCAUAAGACAGUAGCUGGGCAUCCAGCAGCUGUUAAAGAUUUAUCGAUGUAAGCUGGGCAUGCGUCCAAUUAGCUAGUUGGUGAGGUAACGGCUCACCAAGGCCAUGAUUGGUAGGGGAACUGAGAGGUCAAUCCCCCACACUGGAACGGAGAUACGGGCCAGACUCCUACGGGAGGCAGCAGUAGGGAAUAUUGGGCAAUGGACGCAAGUCUGACCCAGCCAUGCCGCGGGCAGGAUGAAGGCGUUAUGCGUUGUAAACUGCUUUUAUACAGGAAGAAACGACUCUUGCGAGAGGCAUUGACGGUACUGUAUGAAUAAGCACCGGCUAACUCCGUGCCAGCCGCCGCGGUAAAAC
rnacentral:rRNA from 1 species